AAAGGCAAAAGAAAACCAGAUGCAAGGAAUCAAGAACAAGUGGAUAAGUGAACUAGAUUAACAAGAAGCACUGCAACAUUGCAAGGCAUCCACAUUUUAAGUAAAAAAUCAGUGAGUAGACGUUUGUCACCUAACAAAGGAAGAAAGAAUAUGAUGGUGAUUAAGUCCACGGCAAAAAAGAAGGAUAUAGAGAAAGAUUCCCAAGUUCUACAAAGAGCCACAAACAAGGAUGCCAAGUUUCAAUUUCAUCAAGUGCAAUAGGUCGAUCAACUGUUUGGCAUCUCAAAUAAUGUCCAACGUCAUCACAAAUCCAGUUCAAGAAUGCAGCAAAAAAGAGGACCAGUAUGAGCUACCACCAGGUUGCCAACAACAAUGAUGGAUUGAUACUGUUAUGGAACAUGUACAUUUGGUGUUAACUUCAGCAUAUAUACAGCCUUUGUUGGCUUCUUUUGAAAUUUCUUUGCACAUUCCACAACCGGUGUUAAUUUCUGCACAUGUACAGCCUUGGUUGGCUUCUUAUGAAUGUCCUUUGAACAUUACAAAACAAUGCCUUAGAUCAAUGAAAUUAAAGUUCCAGUUUUUGUUGCCCAAGUUUCAAUUUCUGUUGCCAUUAUUCCAGUGCAUGAUUAUUUUCAAUUCCAUAUAUCUUAUUUGCAAUUGCACAGGUAUAUUAAGGAAACUAACAACAAGAGUUGCAGACUUACACAGGGACAAACUUACAUUUUCAUUCAUAAACAAUACUUACAUUUACAACUAAAUUGGCCAUAAUACAACUUUUUCCAAAACUAACAUUAGCCAACAUAGAGUAAACUAAAAACAUGCUCGUCUACUCUUCUUCCUUGUUUUUCACAUCAUACUGUACACUGAAAAACAGCAAAUACACAAAUCCCCACAUCACUUUCUCCUUUUUUUUUCUUUUGUUUUUUGUUCGUCUUCGAGCAUGUUUAUCCUUCGAAUCAAUCCUAGGAUGAUUUGUCGCGACCGCUCACACAUUGGAG